rnacentral:rRNA from 1 species
UACGUAGGUGGCAAGCGUUAUCCGGAAUUAUUGGGCGUAAAGAGCGCGCAGGUGGUUAAUUAAGUCUGAUGUGAAAGCCCACGGCUUAACCGUGGAGGGUCAUUGGAAACUGGUUGACUUGAGUGCAGAAGAGGGAAGUGGAAUUCCAUGUGUAGCGGUGAAAUGCGUAGAGAUAUGGAGGAACACCAGUGGCGAAGGCGGCUUCCUGGUCUGCAACUGACACUGAGGCGCGAAAGCGGGGGGAGCAAACAGG